GGUCAACUUAUUGUGGAAGGGGGGGAUAUGUGGGAAAGUGAGAUGUAGCUGAAAAGCAGGUGGUUAUAUCUCCUCUCUAUCUCCCUUCCCCACAUCUUCCCUCUUCCUUUUUUUUUUUGUAU